AACACUGAAAUAUACUCAACAAGAAGCAGCUCUUUUGAAACAAAAGGCUGAAUCAGAAGCGAAUCUUCAAGUUCUUUCUCAGCAAAAAGCUUUUGAAGCCGACGCUGCAGAAGUAAAGGUACUACAAGAGCAUGAUGUCGAAGGCUCUGAUGGGUCAGAAAGUCAUGUUGCACCAGACAUUAAAUUCAAAUUGCAAACUUUGCCUGUUGUAAAACCUGACAAUCUAGUUCAAGAAAUCCACAAACAAUCAAACAGUAUCUGACACUAAUAUGGGAGAAAAUCUGUGCAAAUUUCUCCUUAAAAAAGACUAGGCUCUCUCGCGACUGACUAUAUUUAGUGACAAAACUGAAUUUUUAUCCCUGGAAAUGUUUGUAUGAAUAUGUAAAAUGAUGACAAUUUAUAAUAGCUGUAUUAAUACAAGUAUCAAAAAUGUUGAUUUUUAAUGCAAAAAAUGACUUUUUUUGUGAAAAUGUUCGUUUUAAUACGAACAAAGAUGACAGUUAAUAAUAGUUCGUAUUAAUACGAAAUAUCAAAAAUGUUGAUUGUUAAUGCAAAAAAAAGACCUUUUCCCUGAAAAUGUUCGUAUAAAUACCAACAAUGAUGACAUCUAUGAAUUUAUCAAGUAUUUCUGAAAAAAAUGUAUAGUGCGUAAAUUUACGAAGUAUGGUUAUGUUAAGAAUCUAUGAAUUAAACAAGUAUUUCUGUUGUUUUUUUUUAAUGCGUAAAUUUACGAAGUCUGGUUUUGUUAAGAAUCUAUGAAUUCACCAAGUAUUUCUGAAAUUGUUUAAUAAUGCGUAAAUUAAGGAAGUCUGGUUUUGCUAUGAAUUUGCCAAGUACCGAGUAUUUCUGAAAAUAUAUAAUAGUGUGUAAAUGUUCGACUUAUGUUAAGAAUAUAUGAACUGACCAUGUACAUGACUUUGUAUUUCUGAAAAUUUUUAAUGCAGCAUAAAUUUAGGAAAUAUGAUUUUGUUGAGAAUAAAUGAAUUGACAAAGUACGGGGUAUUUCUGAAAAAAUAUAAUAGUGCGUAAAUUUACGAAGUAUGGUUUUGUUAAGAAUAUAUGAAUUGACCAGGGAGCCGUUUCAUCAACGAUUUACGACUAGUUGUAAAUUACGAUUUACAUAAAUUACGAUGUUUCAAUGAAAUCGCGUUUCAUCAAGCAAAUCGUAAAUUAAAAUUACAUAAAUUUCAUACAUAAAUAUACGACUGGGUAAGGGCACCCGUAAAUUAACGUAAUGGCGGUCGUUUUUGUCAUCCAAGAUGGCAGGAGACGAACAAUUACCAAUGCCAAGGCUUUUAAGGGAGAGAUUGUUCUCGAAAACCUAAGAGAUGAGAACAUUGCUUCGAUAUAUCGUCUAAGUAAGGGCGGAAUAGAGCGAUUGUUGGUUUUGAUCGGGGAAGACAUAGCACCAACUUGUCGGCGAGCUCAUCCCUUUCAUUCCGUCGCUUAGAUUUUGGCAUAUUGCAUAUUGCCAAGGGAGAUGUUUACUGAGGAUUCCAUGCCAUUAAUAUGCAGGCUGUUGCUGAUGCCAGCAUGAGUUUACAGCAAUAUCUGAGCACCAAUGAUGAGGGUCAUCUGCUGGGAGAUAGUGGGUAUCCGUUAAGGACUAACCUGAUGACCCCUUAACCUCAUCCCUCCCAUGCUGCGGAACAGGCCUACAAUGACCAUCUAUGUAGAGGAUAUCUGCAUGCCACUGGCGGAUGUUGGCCUUUCAAGUCCAAUAAGUGCUGUGAAAUAUCAACUGUGUACAUGCCCCUGCAUAACCUGUGUCUGGAUUCAAACGUUCCACUGAUAGAGGAAUUGGUUGGAAAUGUGAUGGAACCGGAAGUUAUGAACAACACACCAGUACAUCGAGCAGCAUGUGAUAAGAGGCAGCAGCUGAUCAAACUGUUUCAUAAAAUGUGUUAAAAAUUUAUAGUUAUAAAUGUUAUAAAGUGAUAGAUGGCUCGAGUCUUCUCUGAAUAGGCAGAGCUACACUACUCAGCAAAAUGGCGUAAAGUUGUGUCAUAGCUGAUUUGGAAGGAUUGGUAUUCCUGGUCGUCUAGACACAAUAGUUACAACAGCUGAUGUUUGCAUGUUUUAUAAUUGUGUAUGCAUAAUUUGUCUAAUAUUUACUUCAAGGUUAUAGGUUUGUGAAAGAAAAAAAUGUCAAUGUUCUGAGGACCAAUAAAAAAAGUUAUGUGUUAGGUAUUA